UCGUGCUAUCAUACUGGCACUAAUGCACCGGAGCCCAUCAGAACUCUGUAGUUAAACGUGCUGGGGCGAGAGUAGUACUAGGAUGGGGGAUCUUAUGGGAAGUUCUCGUGUUGCACCCC
rfam:Gossypium raimondii Chr06_contig_386, whole genome shotgun sequence.